rnacentral:rRNA from 1 species
UUACCUGGGCUUGACAUCCCUAUGGCAUCCCNUGNAAACAUGUUAGUCGAUUCGGUUGGAUCGGGGACAGGGGCUGCAUGGCUGCCUACUGCUCGGGUCGNGAGAUGUUGGGUUAAGUCCCGCAACCAGCGCCCCCCUUGUCCUUAGUUGCCAUCAUUAAGAUGGGCACUCUAAGGAGACUGCCGGUGUUAAACCGGAGGAAGGUGGGGAUGACGUCAAGUCCUCAUGGCCCUUAUGUCCAGGGCUACACACGUGCUACAAUGGCCGGUACAAAGGGCUGCUACACCGAGAGGUUGAGCGAAUCCCAUAAAGCCGGUCUCAGUUCGGAUUGGAGUCUGCAACUCGNCUCCAUGAAGUUGGAAUCCCUAGUAAUCGCGGAUCANCAUGCCGCGGUGAAUAC